rnacentral:rRNA from 1 species
CCUACGGGAGGCAGCAGUGGGGAAUCUUGCACAAUGGAGGAAACUCUGAUGCAGCGAUGCCGCGUGAGUGAAGAAGGCCUUUGGGUUGUAAAGCUCUUUUGUAGGGGAAGAUAAUGACUGUACCCUAAGGAUAAGGUCCGGCUAACUUCGUGCCAGCAGCCGCGGUAAUACGAAGGGACCUAGCGUAGUUCGGAAUUACUGGGCGUAAAGCGCGCGUAGGCCGUUGAGUUAGUUAAUUGUGAAAUCCCAAAGCUUAACUUUGGAACUGCAAUUAAAACUGCUCGACUAGAGUUUGAUAGAGGAAAGCGGAAUACAUAGUGUAGAGGUGAAAUUCGUAGAUAUUAUGUAGAACACCAGUUGCGAAGGCGGCUUUCUGGAUCAACACUGACGCUGAGGCGUGAAAGUAUGGGUAGCAAAGAGGAUUAGAUACCCUCGUAGUCCAUACCAUAAACGAUGAUUGCUAGAUGUUGGAAAUUUAUUUUACAGUAUCGCAGCUAACGCAUUAAGCAAUCCGCCUGGGGAGUACGACCGCAAGGUUAAAACUCAAAGGAAUUGAACGGCUGAGAGUGCGAGCGACGACGAGGAGAGG